ensembl:lncRNA
AGAAUCUCCAGCAAAGCUAAGGAGCAGACCUGGGAGCUGUCCUGCUGAAACAAUGCUCAAAAUCUCACCGAAGAACUGGAGGCAAUGCUGACACCUCAACUGCCCUCCCAGGCACAGCACCGCAGGCUGGCUGCACUGCUGAUGCUGAACAGUGGAGGCCAUGUCUGAUUUUCCCUGCAACAACCAUGAAAGGUGGAUUCUUUACCAUCUGAGCCAUCAGGGAAACCCAAGAGUACUGGAGUGGGUAGCCUAUCCCUUCUCCAGGAGAUCUUCCAGACCCAGGAAUCAAACCAGAGUCUCCUGCAUUGCAAGCGGAUUCUUUACCAGCUGAGCUACCAGGGAAAUCCCCCCCGGUCAACUCCUAAAGGAGGCAGCACUUUGGUUCCCUGAAUACUUCUGUGCAUAGGGCUGUGUGCAGUAUUUUAUACCUUCUUGUUAACCUUCACUGAGAAGCUGUGUAAAUAAAACACAACUCAGCUAUAGAGAGACCCUGUUUGAAGCUCCAGAGGGCUGUGUGAUGAUUAUCCUACGGCUCCUUUUCAAACAGGAAGAAUGCCUCCCAAAGGCAAGCAAUCAAUCUGCUCCUUGGCACAUCCUGGAGCCCUGGGGUUGCACGAUGUCAGGAAAUUGCUGCCCCUUUGUUUCUUGGCUGAAAAUGGCUCUGCCUGCGUUUUCGUUUCUUUCAGAGCUCAGUCAUUGCUGCUACUGCUGCUGCUC